rnacentral:rRNA from 1 species
GGCAAUCUGCCCUUCACUCUGGGACAAGCCCUGGAAACGGGGUCUAAUACCGGAUACCACUACCGCAGGCAUCUGUGGUGGUUGAAAGCUCCGGCGGUGAAGGAUGAGCCCGCGGCCUAUCAGCUUGUUGGUGAGGUAAUGGCUCACCAAGGCGACGACGGGUAGCCGGCCUGAGAGGGCGACCGGCCACACUGGGACUGAGACACGGCCCAGACUCCUACGGGAGGCAGCAGUGGGGAAUAUUGCACAAUGGGCGAAAGCCUGAUGCAGCGACGCCGCGUGAGGGAUGACGGCCUUCGGGUUGUAAACCUCUUUCAGCAGGGAAGAAGCGAAAGUGACGGUACCUGCAGAAGAAGCGCCGGCUAACUACGUGCCAGCAGCCGCGGUAAUACGUAGGGCGCAAGCGUUGUCCGGAAUUAUUGGGCGUAAAGAGCUCGUAGGCGGCUUGUCACGUCGGGUGUGAAAGCCCGGGGCUUAACCCCGGGUCUGCAUUCGAUACGGGCUAGCUAGAGUGUGGUAG